UUCCUUUGAGUUUCAGCCUUGCGACCAUACUCCCCAGGCGGAGCACUUAACACUUUCGCUUCGGUCGGAAACCUAUGGAGGAGCCUCCAACCUAGUGCUCAUCGUUUACAGCUAGGACUACCGGGGUAUCUAAUCCCGUUCGCUACCCUAGCUUUCGUGCCUCAGCGUCAGAAAAGACCCAGUGAGCCGCUUUCGCCACAGGUGUUCCUAAUGAUAUCAACGCAUUUCACCGCUCCACCAUUAGUUCCGCUCACCUCUAUCUUCCUCUAGCUUGGCAGUUUUGAGCGCAGUUCCUCGGUUGAGCCGAGGGAUUUCACACCCAACUUGCCAAGCCGCCUACGCACCCUUUAAGCCCAGUGAUUCCGAAUAACGUUUGGACGGUUCGUCUUACCGCGGCUGCUGGCACGAACUUAGCCCGUCCUUCCUCUGAAGAUAGGUCAACUAUGGGGGAGAACCCCCAUAGAUUUCCUCCCGACUGACAGCGGUUUACAACCCGAAGGCCUUCAUCCCGCACGCGGCGUCGCUCCGUCAGGCUUUCGCCCAUUGCGGA
rnacentral:rRNA from 1 species